CUCCCUUUCCAGUUUGUCAAUUUAAAAGACAAUUUUGCUUUCCACCAGAACGGGAGGGACUUUACCUCUCUAUCAAAAGAAAGUGCUGUUACAGUGCUGUUACAGUCAUUCCCCGGCUGCAAUAAAUGCAGGAACAGCAUUAAGGGACAAUGAGUGCUCUGCCUGCAGCGAAGGAACAUUUUCCGAUGGGACAUUAUUGACAUCGUGUCAGCCACACACACAAUGUCAAUCAUUGAAUCUUCAGCUGAUAAAACCAGGAA